GAGCAUACAAAGAAAACAGCACACCCGUAGCACCUGAGAAAAUAGAUUUUAAUACAAGGGCUGCACAUUUCUGAUCGGUUUCCUUAGAGCCUGAAUAACACCUGUGCUUUGUCAGCAUGUGACAAAACCUGCAUUUAUCUGGGAUAAUACGGGUGUUACUGACAGAGGAAGUAGCAGGACUGCUGCUCAUUCAGGCAGAUCCAAACCUGCACCAGUGAGUCGGAUUAAUUCCAAACGCAGACCUUUGCAUGCCUGUUGAUCUCCAAGAGGCUUCUGUUGUCCCAUUCAUGUUUCUCAAGUUCCCUCUGAAUUGAAGAGAAGCAUCAAAAGAGGUUGGAAAGUAGAAAGGUGCUUCAACUAUCCAUAUGUUAGAAGUAUGCAAACAAUGCAAAGGGAGCUGCUUGUAUCAUAAUGAUGGGAUGCUCAUCUGCAUCUCUUCAAACACGGUGGACCAGCUCUGCUGCUACUAAAUGGCGUUUCAUGACACUGAAGAUAUGGAGUUAGGCCAGUUGACAACAUAGCCAGAGCAAGAGCAUUUUAAUGGGUUUUGCCUUGUUUAAACAUUACCUUUUGUUACAGGAUUGUUCAUUGGGUGCAGCAUAAAGUACAAUUAUUUUUGUUGGCUUUUCAGCUUUCCUCUCCUGUUAGAGGAAGGUUCCACUUUCAAAUGAAUAUUAGAAGAACCUUAAAGUCUUAGCUAUCCCUAAUCUUUAUGGCUUCAUUGGAGUUUUAAAUGUAGCUUUUGCUUUAUCCUAUAAACUGGGAGCUAUCGGUUUGAGGGACUUAGUCCAAAGAUACAGUAUAAGCAGAUAGUUUGGUUAAGCUGAUUUUUGCAAUUCAAGUGGGUCUAAUGCAUAUCAUGCCCGGGAUUAUCUUUUUACUUCUGCAUAAAUUGACAGAAUCUGAGCAUUCUCUGUGUAUUGCAAAGAGCAGCUUGGAAAAUAAAAGGGAACCAGGUUAGUGGCUCAUAUAUAAAGGAACAUUUGAACUUUGUAUAAAUCAUCUAAAUUUUCAUCCUUUUGUACAUCACUCAGGGAGAAAGCAAAUAUUUUGGCAGCUUGGAUCAUGUGAGAGGGAAACAAGAGACCUCAUUAAUUCAGAUAUUUCAGAUUCAACAACAGAAAGGAGGGAUUAUGACUGCCCAAUUUGAUCCAACUGGAAAAAUCUAAAUCUAGACCAAGGUCAGGUACCUCACAAAUGAUGGAACGAUAUAAAGUGUAUUUAAUUUCCUGAGAGCUGUGAUAAAAUUAAGAUAGAAGUCCUGGGAAAAGAGUCUAAUAUAUCACUCAGCCCUAUCAAGCCUGACAUGUUUACUAGGUGUGUCAUAGCUAUUUGAAAAGAUGAUCUCUAAGAAAAACCUUCAGCAUUUUCUUUUUUUUUUCAUUCUUUUAAGUGUUAUUGUCCUCUUCAGUAGCAGUAUUCCUAGAGCCAAAUGGUAUUCGAUUGUGCAAAAUUGUUUAGCAGAAGUGUUUGUACUCUUCGUCAGUAAGGGGGGACAGGACCACUCUUUCAUUUCUUCAGUCACUGCAAAAUUCUGCCAUAAGCUGUGCUUUCCCUCCCAUGAGUUUGCAAAGCGCUGCACUGCAGUGGGCUUUCCCAUCUCAGAUUUGACAUUUGCCCUUCACAGAGCAGAGCUGCUCACAGCAGAGGAGACCCUUCUUGUCAGAUAAGCAGUGUUACGGAGUUGGCUUUCAGCAUUGAUGCUGAGAAACAUUUGCUUCAGCUUGGUUUGCUCCACAGGGGACAGAAAGGAGGGAGCAGCAAAAGCCAGAGGAGUAACAAAGGCAGUGGAAACAUUACCUCUUUACACUGUCAUCUUGGUGGUUUUUCUAAGAACAGCUUUUGCUUCAGUGGGUGAAAACUUGCCAUCUUCCUCUUCCUUUUUUUUUUUUUUCUUCUCUCUACUGUCCAUUUCUUUAAUAUUUUAAUUUUCAUGUACAUGGGAAUAUGUGUCUUUGUGUGAGGGUGCACGUGCAUAUAUAUAUUCUUAUAUAGGGCUGUGUAUAUUCUGUGAUUUGUACUGAAUUUUUAUGGUUCUCUCUCUACAAGGCUCUGUUCUAAACAGUAAGUGUCAUGCACUUGCUCCUGCUUGAAAAUAACACACAGCAUUUUCUUAGCCCUUAUUAAAUCAGACCUAGGUAACACCGGGAAGGAAUUUGAAUUGUCCCCCACUCCAAUUUCUCUUUCCCAAUUUCACAAAGGUUAGACAAGUCUCCGAAUGCUGCUCAUUGUGUUUUGCCCACUUUUUUGUUCUCUUCACCCAGGUAAUGAAAAAUCCUCUGUCCCCAUCCAAAGACCGCACAGUAACAGCUGGCUCUUCAGCUCAAGUAACCACAGUCAAGAGCAGAAGCAUUUGUGGCUGAGAGUGCAAUUGAUGAAAGGGAAGGAUGGCAAAAUACCUGCAGGCCACUGAACAUUUCCCAGCAAUUCAGCUAUGGCCAGCUGUGAGUGCUAAUUAGAGACACUGCAUAGUUGACUUGCUAUUAAAGGAAUGGAAAUGGGCAUAUUUCCCUUUGUUUUAUUUAUUGUAGAAUCAUGGAAGCAUUAAGGCUGGAAAAGACUUUCA